AACACGCUGUGACGUCAUCACCUCAUGGUUCCGGAUUGCAGCAGGUGCGAGGACCCAAAUUGUGACACUUUCGGUCGUGGUAAAAUAAGGCGUCUUAUCCACACAAAAUGCGGAAAUUGGAAGCGGGGACAUGCAACUUUGGUAAUUCUGUUUCAACAUGAUGCUUGCCCUGAAAGUCAAGGAAAGGUUAGAAGUUAGUUUCCUCUUCUCCUCUUUCUCCUUCAGCUGCUCAUAGAUUUGUUCUCCUGGGAUUAAAGACAGAUCAAUUAAGAAAGAACACAGAAAUGGAAAGAACAAGGAAAUAUAAGAAGAUAAAGAACAAGGAAAUAUAAGAGGACAUACAAUAAGUUUCUUGACUGAGACUAGUGUUAUUGGAGGUGGACCAAUGAUCGGGACCAGCACAGCUGCCAAUUCCUGUGGUAUGAUGCCUUGGGUCACCAGAGGAUGGCCCAUGACAAACUGACCACAAGAAUGGCAGAGAGGGUCUUGCCGUGAUGAAAUGUUGUCUCCCCCUGGUCCCAUGUUGUUGAUGGGAUCGAACUCUGGAUCUUUGGGCGCUAGCUGUGACUUAUCGAUGGCAUCUUUAUCGAACGGGAAAAUGCCACAUUUCCUGAAUCCAGCCUUGAUAUUGUGAGGACUGAAGACCUUGUCCACAGCAGCUUGAAGUACCUGAGCUAGUCUUGAUGAAUUAAAAAAGAAGCUUAGACUGACUGCUAAAUCAGACACAGCUUUUUUUAGUGGCCUGAAAAGCACAACAUCUAGCGGUUGAAGGAGAUGGGUCGUAUGGGGUGGCAAGCAGAAGAACUCUAUCUGGUUGGCUCUAGCCAUAUCAAUAAGUGGAAUCGAAAGGUGACUCUCGUGGUUGUCAAGCACCAGUAAAAUAGGUCUGGACCUAGGCACAUGCUUCAGAAAAAUUUCCUGGAACCAUUUUCGGAACAAGUCCGAGUCCAUGUAGCCAUUUUCUGACGUGCCGAAAAGCCAACUUUGUGGAAUUCCUUCAGGAAAGAAAACAAAAGGUUUGUUUCAGCAACACUCACC